CCUACGGGUGGCAGCAGUCGAGAAUCAUUCACAAUGGGGGAAACCCUGAUGGUGCGACGCCGCGUGGGGGAAUGAAGGUCUUCGGAUUGUAAACCCCUGUCAUGUGGGAGCAAAUUAAAAAGAUAGUACCACAAGAGGAAGAGACGGCUAACUCUGUGCCAGCAGCGGAGGUAAUACAGAGGUCUCAAGCGUUGUUCGGAAUCACUGGGCGUAAAGCGUGCGUAGGCUGUUUCGUAAGUCGGGUGUGAAAGGCGCGGGCUCAACCCGCGGACGGCACAUGAUACUGGGAGACUAGAGUACUGGAGGGGGAACCGGAAUUCUCGGUGUAGCAGUGAAAUGCGUAGAUAUCGAGAGGAACACUCGUGGCGAAGGCGGGUUCCUGGACAUUAACUGACGCUGAGGCACGAAGGCCAGGGGAGCGAAAGGGAUUAGAUACCCCUGUAGUC
rnacentral:rRNA from 1 species